rfam:Populus trichocarpa scaffold_10_contig_274, whole genome shotgun sequence.
AGCCUGUGAUGCAUCAAAAUUGUCCGUACCAUCUGAGAUCUUUCUGUAUCUUUGAUGACACACAAACUUGUAUAGAUUCUGAGGCUU